CGGAGGGUGCAAGCAUUGAUCGGAUUUACUGGGCGUAAAGGGCGCGUAGGCGGACGAAAAAGUCAGAUGUGAAAUCCCAUGGCUCAACUAUGGGGCUGCAUUUGAAACUCUUUGUCUUGAGGGAUGACGGAGAAAACGGAAUUCCGCAUGUAGCGGUGAAAUGCGUAGAUAUGCGGAGGAACACCGGUGGCGAAAGCGGUUUUCUAGUUAUUUCCUGACGCUGAGGCGCGAGAGUAUAGGUAUCAAACAGGAUUAGAUACCCUGGUAGUCUAUACCGUAAACGAUGUAUACUUGAUGGAGCUGGGCUCAACCCUGGCUGUGUCGUAGCUAACGCGAUAAGUAUACCGCCUGAGGAGUACGCUCGCAAGGGUG
rnacentral:rRNA from 1 species